CAGGCUGAGAUCGUGAAGCGCCUCAGUGCAAUCUGUGCCCAGAUGGUCCCAUUCCUCACUCAGGAGCAUCAGCAGCAGGUGCUCCAGGCUGUGGACCGAGCCAAGCAGGUGACCGUGGGGGAACUGAACAACCUCUUGGGGCAGAAUCAGCUCCAGCCGCUGUCCCAUGCACCCCCUGUGCCUCUCACCCCACGCCCAGCUGGCCUGGUGGGUGCCGGGGCCACUGGGCUGCUGGCCCUCUCUGGGGCGCUGGCUGCGCAGGCCCAGCUGGUGGCUGCUGUUAAGGAAGACCGUGUGGGUGUGGACACCGAGGGGUCCAGAGUGGACAGAGCUGCCAGCAGGAGUUCAUCCCCCUCACCCCCUGAGAGUCUGGCAGAAGAGGAGCAUCCUAGCAGCCGAGACAGUAACGGGAAGCAGCAGAGAGCCGAAG
rnacentral:lncRNA from 1 species